GGCAAAGAUUGUUAUAUCAGGUAUAGCUGAUUGUCCAUUCUAUGCAAUUGCUGAAAAUAUAUGUGAUUAUUUACAAAAAAAUUUGAACGAUUUUCGCGUCACAAAAUACCAAAAAUUGCAAAAAGAAUGGGAUGAAUGGCUUUCAAACGUAUGUAGCACAAAUAAUUGGAACCACAAACGUUCACCGCUUAUAUGGAGAGAACUUGUGAAUGCUGGUGGCAAGGCACUUAUAAUCGGCGGAGUAAAUGAAUUUCAAGAAUAUGCCUUUGAAUAUUAUAAUGUUGUUUGCCAAAUCCCAACAUCGAUGUUAAAAUUAAUUUCAAAAGAAAAUUAUCUUUGGAAAAUAAAAACUGAUAAAAAAG